CAUGGAGAGUGGAGAGGAAAGUGAAACAUACACGUGGUUGGUUCAAACCUGAAGCCGAACUACUGGUAUAUACUUGGUUCAUGUCUGCGCUCCAUUUUCCAUGCCAGGUGGUGACCUGACAUACGUGGAUUAUGGAACCUAUACAGAACCCCUGGAAAAAGUGAUCUUGCUCGAUAAAGCCACUGGUAUUAGCUGUCUUGUGGCAUCCUUUGUUUAGUUUCAAAAUUUGUGAUAUUUAUAACUGUGUUAUGUUAGAGAUAUUUGAUCCGCACUUUGUCACUCUUGAUCUGACAUGUGGCAAGUCUUUGAGAAAAUUCCUUAUUUAACACUGGUAAAAAUAAGUAAUUCCUUUCUUGACCUUCAAAAUUUCAGUCUCCCCUAUUUGACAUUAGAUGUAACUUUUGUUCCCUAUAUGACAUUCCGUUACCUUUUCCAUCAAAUGCCUGUGUCAGAUGGUGUAAAUGGAUCAGCACUUUGUGCUGCAUACUCACCGUUGCCUCAUCAGGACCAGAAAGGCUUCCUUUCUUGACUAAAAUAGCGGGCACAGGCAAAAAAACGAGCUUUCAACCCAGCUGAUCAGGAGCUGGAGAUUACCGAUGCUUUCAUUUCCUACUGCACUUUGUAUUGCUUACCACAAGUCAAUGAUCGGCUUAUAGUGGGCUUUAUAGGAAAUGGGUUCAUGGAGAAUGGAGAGGAAAGUAAAACAAAGUGGCUGGUUCGACCCAAACUACACGUACACAUUUGAUUCAUGUACAUGUCUUACUUUCAUGUAUAUUUGAAUCAGGUUUUUGUGGAGAACAUUGUUAGGAAUCUUGACCGGUCUAUAAAAGUGUGCACAUGUCAAGUUUACAUAACAAGAUCGAUGGCAUUUGUCUGAUGAAGAUGUGGCUUUGAUAAAUCUAGUGCUAUUAAUGGAACAGAAGAUUAACAUAAACUGAAAGUUGCUUCUGUUGUGUACUCACCAUCACGUGCUUGCUUAAUUAUGUUCAUAAAUCAGAAUCAAACUGUAUUUACUGACACUAGGGGAAAGAAAUGCAGAAAUGCUUUAACAUUUUCAUUUCUGCUAAUGCACUAAAUACCAUUUCAAUUUUUGAAUGACCUACUAUACUGCUGAUUAAGUUGACAAAAGAAUACUGUUAUUCUGAGCCUUUCAGCAUAAGACUUCUUUUCAGUUGUGGCUCCACAUUGGCGGUGUGCUUUUUCACUUGUGGGCACAACCUUGUGUUUUAGUAGAAUCAUUCAGGAUCUUAAACAAACUUACAAAAACAUUGCGUUGCCAGAUUCAUGGUUCAAGAACAUGGUGGCCAAGGUGAUGGGUUCGGACUUGUAAAUGAUGUGGAAUGGGACUAGUCUGAUGUGUAAAAUUAGUUGCUUUCUGCUAAUCUUGACUUAAUUCCAGCAUAGCAUAAUCGUGCUUUGUUCCAGAUUUCAACUCCAUUUUCCAUGCCAGGUAUUGACCUGGCAUACGUGGACCUUAUGCAGAACUCUGUCAGAAAGGUGAUCCUGCUCGAUAAAGACAUUGGUAUGAGAUGUCUUGCGAUAUCCCUAUUUUAGUUGUAAUAUUCAUGAGUGGUUUAUAAUGAAUAUUAUCUUAAGAGUAUUGUAUCUACACUUGUCAUUUUUGGUCUAACAUGUGGCAAGUCAAGCUAAGUUAUCUUUGCAUUCUAUUAAUCCAUAUCAAAUGAAUUGUGAUGUGUUGGGCAAGAUGUCUAGGCGAUUAGUAAUCAUUUGUCUACUACUGAUGACAGUAUA